ACUCAAAGGAAUUGACGGGGGCCCGCACAAGCGGUGGAGCAUGUGGUUCAAUUCGACGCAACGCGAAGAACCUUACCUGGGCUCGAACGGCUUCUCAACGUUCGUGGAAACACGGAUAUCCCGCAAGGGAGUGGAGUCGAGGUGCUGCAUGGCUGUCGUCAGCUCGUGUCGUGAGAUGUUGGGUUAAGUCCCGCAACGAGCGCAACCCUUGCCCUGUUUUGCCAUCAUUAAGUUGGGAACUAUCAGGGGACCGCCAGCGAUAAGUUGGAGGAAGGUGGGGAUGACGUCAAGUCAUCAUGGCCUUUAUGUCCAGGGCUACACACGUGCUACAAUGGACGGUACAAAGCGCUGCGAAGCCGCGAGGUGGAGCUAAUCGCAAAAAACCGUUCUCAGUUCGGAUCGCAGGCUGCAACUCGCCUGCGUGAAGCUGGAAUCGCUAGUAAUGGCAGAUCAGCACGCUGCCGUGAAUACGUUCCCGGGCCUUGUACACACCGCCCGU
rnacentral:rRNA from 1 species